GUGGGGAAUAUUGGACAAUGGGCGAAAGCCUGAUCCAGCCAUGCCGCGUGUGUGAAGAAGGUCUUCGGAUUGUAAAGCACUUUAAGUUGGGAGGAAGGGCAGUAAGUUAAUACCUUGCUGUUUUGAUGUUACCGACAGAAUAAGCACCGGCUAACUUCGUGCCAGCAGCCGCGGUAAUACGAAGGGUGCAAGCGUUAAUCGGAAUUACUGGGCGUAAAGCGCGCGAAGGUGGUUUUGUAAGUUGGAGGUGAAAUCCCCGGGCUCAACCUGGGAACUGACUCCAAAACUGCAUGACUAGAGUACGGUAGAGGGUAGUGGAAUUUCCUGUGUAGCGGUGAAAUGCGUAGAUAUAGGAAGGAACACCAGUGGCGAAGGCGACUACCUGGACUGAUACUGACACUGAGGUGCGAAAGCGUGGGGAGCAAACAGGAUUAGAUACCCCGGUAGUCC
rnacentral:rRNA from 1 species